CCACUCUCAGAAUGUUCAAGGAGCCACAAAUAUUGGCACAUUUUUUUAAAAAAAUGGUAGAACGACACAUGUCGUCACCCGGGGUGAGGGACUUUGUAUGUAAGGGCGACAUAUGUCGUCACCCGGGGUUAAGGGGUUAAACUGCUCUCGUAGCAACACGAUGCAGUUAUGAGUGUUUUACUCGUGUUUUUCUUGAUUUUUUAGUGAUUUUUUUAGUUGAAAGACUUGCUGUACUUGGCAUCUUUCCCUGGUGCUGCGAGGGAAGCGGGAGAGAGGCUGGGGAGGGUGAGUUAGUGGCCUUGGUCUACAGGGAUGUGAGGGGUGUGGUGCCUUUUUGUUGCUGUAUUCCACAAAUCGAAUGUUUUCCACUGCUUUAAUUAUUCCAACCAUGAUCAACCAGAACUGUCAGCAUGCCUAGACCAAAAAAGAAUGUUGCUCUGCCUCGCAAGCACACAGAAAUCUCAAAGAAAGCAGGCCUGACACGUGAGGAAUGCGUGUGUGUAGGCAGCCUGACACCACACCUCCCAGCCUCCCCACCUCUUUCCAUGUGCUCAGGGAAGCGUCGGUCUACUGUGCUUCCUGAUGAGGUGAAAAAAGAAGCAACAACAUGACUCCGUGUAUUGAUUGAAGAACAAAAUGUAAAAGACAUUGUAGAAAGCAGGUGUGGAUCGAGUGUGCUUUAGUGAUUGUUUGGAAGUAAAGUUUAUUCACCACCAAAUUGACACAUCUAUCUGUGUGAAGCGUGAGUAUAGGCACGUAAUACUAGACACAAAAAAAUGUACAGGUGAAGGAAAAGAGCUUUUAUCCUUUGACUUGCCUAAUGAUUUAUGCAAUGAUGAUCCUUGGGUAUGCUAGCACAAGUAGUGUCUCUGUUGGGCAUGAAACAUUUUGCUAAGGCGACAUAUAUCAGGUAUGCUAACUAAAUAACCAAGAGUGCUGUGGUCCAUGCAAACAAUAUCCUUGAAAAGACCAGAGAUGCGAAACAGCAAGAUGUGGAGGGACCUUGAAUACGUCGCGGGAGGAUUCUAAUGACGCAGCGAAAAGUGCGUUUUUCUCGCUUGGAAGGACAGGAUGGAGCCCCUGUGUGAGGCUGUGAAGGUGGAGGUGGGGGAGGAGCCAACAGGCGGCCAGGCUUCAUCCACCUCCCAGCAGCCCUCAGUGAUGGACAGAGUGAGCGAUCACUCCGAGGGAUCACUCCAAUGGGAUGAGAUUGGUAUUAAGGAGGAGGAGGAGGAGGUAUGCAUCAAAGAUGAGGGCAUUGAAGACUUCGACCCACUCACUGGCUAUACCGUCUUUGCUCCUAUGCAGAAGUCCAAUCCAAGAAGCACCAGGGUGAAGAAAAAAAAAAGUGCCUUUAUUAGGAAGUCUUUUAAGACAGGGGGAGGACCACCACAGCCACUCGAAGACACAGGAGCAUCAUCUGUCAAAGAUAUCAUGGCCAGGAAGUCCCUCACUGAUGAGGAGAUUGAAAGCUUUAUAUUUCAAUCCGACGAUGAGGCAAGUGAUAAUGAGACCCCAAAUGAACAGGAAGAUGAGGUAGACAGCGUGGAUGACAACUUGAUCGACGUCCACGACUCUGUAACAUCACCACCAUCAGCGUCCCUCUCUCCACCACCACCCACUACCUCUCACUUGCCUGCCUUUCCUGCCACAUCUACCACUAGGCAUGUGAACAGUAUAGAUGACCCAGACAACCUCCUCCCAUCUUCUACCCCAAUUACUACAUCAGGCCAAGAAAACUUGAGUCCUACAGAACUCAAAUGUCGGAAGAGAAAACGGGGCCCACUGCUCCCUGCCGCAGGAGAGGCAAUACAUGAAUUAGAUGUCGAUAGAAUCAAGACCAAGGACAAUCAUGUGUGGCACAAGCAUAAGAACCCACACCUACCUGACCUGAUGUGCAACCGCAUUGAACCUGGAGGUCCCACAGUUGCAACAAAUCAAGCUACCACUCCUGUUGAAUGUUUCUCCCUUUUUUUAACAGAUCGGAGUUUGGCGGCUGUUAGUGUUCACACAAACAGGAGAAUACGUAUUUUGAGGGAGAGAUUCAAAACCAAAGAAAAACAUACAACAAGUGAUGUAAGCUUGUUAGAGUUGAAGGGUCUAUUAGGAAUCCUAAUACUGUCAGGGGUGAAGAAAGACAACCACGUUCCAAUCACUGACAUGUGGUCUGAAUUGGAUGGUGCACCGAUGUACAAAAGCACAAUGAGUAAGGAGAGAUUUGCAUUUCUUCUGAGGGCUCUACGCUUCGAUGAUGCAGCAACGAGAAAAGAAAGGAUGAAGGAAGACCGACUCGCUCCUAUUCGUUCCCUUUGGGAUGAUGUAGUGCUGCACUGCCAAGUGUUAUCAGCCUGGCCCACAUCUCACCGUUGAUGAGCAACUCCUUGGCUUCAGAGGACACUGUAGCUUCAGAAUGUAUAUCCCCAACAAACCUGCCAAGUACGGCCUCAAAAUUGUGAUGAUGUGUGAUGCUGACUCGCACUACAUGUGCAAUGCUAUACCUUACCUGGGUAAAGGGACAGUGCAGCUGUCAAAAGGUCAGACCCUGGGGGAAGUAUUCACAGUUGAGCUAACCAAAGGCUAUGGUCGUCGUGGCCGGGUAGUUACCACUGACAAUUGGUUUACAUCGCUGCCUCUGGCCCUGGCUCUUCGAAGAAAUGACCUGGAGUUGGUGGGAACCAUAAAGAAGAAGCCCUACCUACCUAAAGAAGUACAAACAUUCAGAAUGAAUAACGGUGAGUCUGUGGCUGUCUUCGACUAUGAAGACAAAGUUACGCUACAGUGUACCAAAGUCACAUCCACGAAGAGGAUGCAGCUGCUCUCAACAAUACACCACAGACCCAAGAAAAUAGAAAAGGACAAGACAGAUAUCCAAAUGUUCUAUAAUGGUACAAAGGGAGGAGUAGACACCUUUGACCAGAUGUGCGCUGCACUAACUUGUUCAAGGAAGACCCGUCGUUGGCCCCUGUGUUUAUUCUAUGGGAUAAUCAACCUGGUCAUGGUCAAUGCCUACAUUAUAUCUCAGGGCAAGGAGAAGAAACCCAUGACUAGAAGAAACUUCCACCGAGAAGUGGCUGAAAAACUGAGUUACCCAUUGGCCACUAGUCGUUUACAGGGACAGGUGCGGCUAUCUCGUGGCCUUAGGACUUGCAUACAGUCAACCUUUGGGGUUUUGUUAGACCCUCCAACCCAUCCACAAGACGCAGGCAAGACCAUCAAGCGACAACGGUGCUACAUCUGUCCAAGAGUGAGCAACGUGAAGACGAGACUUGUCUGUGGCACGUGCAAAAGGAAUGUGUGUCCACAGCAUCUCCACUACAGCUGCAUGGAGUGCACAGAUUAGAGCAUGUGCCGUAACAAAGACAGAGGGGUAGGGGCCUGCAUGUGAAGAGGGACACUCUUCCUCUUCGCUAUCGACAGAAAUGCAGGUCUCCAGCACUCCUUAUUCUUAUUCUCAGGAAUAAUUUAUUUUUUCUAUUUUUUUUUCUAAUAGUAAUAAAAUUUACCAUUUUUUUCAUGUAUAAAUAAAAGGAUAUUUUUUUAUUAAUAUUUUUUAUAUACCCUCCUAUAGUUAAAGUAUAAUCUGACAGAAAAACUGAACUGAAAACAAUAACAGAAUUAAUAUAUUCGUGAUUUUUAACUGUGGUGCCAGAAAUGGCACCACGUCAGUGUUUAUGACAAAAAAAAUAACGUUAGUUAUCCAGGGUUAAAUGGAAUUUAAAAAACACGUGGUUAUGUUUAUAACUCACCUAGACAAUAACGUGGUGCCAGAAAUGGUACCGGCUAACCCGUGGAGAGCCUGGUGCAUGCGUGGAGAGCGAGACGUGACCGCCCUCCCCUGCCUCCUCGCACACACUGAACGCCUGCAGGUCCAAAUCAACUGUCACUGUAACGCGAUAUGCGCAGAUGCAAAAAAACAUGAUUUUGCGCAGCUACUGGUGCCAGAUGUGGUACCACGUUAGUUAUCCAGGGUUAAUUCUUUUAAAUUGUGCACCAACCUAAAUUCACCGUUCUUCUUCUCCCUUAAAAAAAUGGGAGAAAUAAUUUGAUCCGCCUUCCUCUGCGUAACCUUAAUCACCUUGAGCCUUAAGAGUUUGGUAAUCUCCUCACAAAUAAUUUGUUGUUCCACCCUAUUAAAUUGAUAUUCUAAUUCACUUAAGAAUAAAUGGUCAAUGUCCUCAACUUUAAUAUCAAGGUGGCAAUGUUGUUCAAUAUCCAAAAUAAUUGGGUCAGUAGUAAUGCUACGCCACUCAUGUGCAAAGUAAUGCAAUCUACCCGCUUCGAAGCCGUUACUUGCCUCUGCUAUUGCCUGGGCCUGUAGUGUGUGCGGUCCCUGGCGUUUUUUGAGUCGGUGUCAUGACGUGCAGAGGUUGGUCGUUGACUUCCCCUGGAGGCCGACUUGUGCAGUCCAUAAGGCUGGAAUCUGGAGGAGAACCCCCUGUGCGAGGUCCUUCCCCAAAAACCUCUCGUCCUUCCUCCGGCAUAUCUCCACGCAGCGGGUGGUUUCGUGGCUGUGAUUUUGUGUUUCAGUUUCUCUGACUCCUCAAUGUGCUUAGAGGACUGUGAGACGUCAUCCCCAAACAAGAAUCGGGUCAUUGGCACCUUGUCUGAACAGAGGUGCAAGUACUUUUUGUUGAUCUCCCGCUUCAUCACAAAACGUCGCGCCAGGUUGUUCUUGUGGUUUGCAUUGCCUAGCAAGGCCAGGGCACCGUUGAUCAUGCCCACUUUGUGUGCCACCACAGAGUGCUCUUCCUCUUGCGCCACUUUUUCCAGAGCCAAAAGAGAUUUGGUGAUGAUAGUCGCCGCUUGAAGAAUGUCCUUAGUGACGUCCUUUAACCGCCAGUCUGCCUUCUUUGCGUCGGUUCUGAGCGCUUCCAGAAUCUGCGGGUUGCAUUCCACCGGAGCGAGUGCAUGACAGUUGCUAGGCCUCUUGGUGAUGUCAUCCGCACAGAUGUCCUUAUAAUCCUCGUCCCGCAUACCGUUGUCGAACACGAAGUUCACCAUCUCGGCCACUUGUGGAUCAAUCUCCUCAGAAACUAACUCAUGAGGGCCAAAGGUCUUAACCCCCUGCAUUAAGGCGCUACUGCCAGGGGCAUGCUCCCCAAUUUCACCCUCCUCACUGCCUGAGUCAUGGAAACCCGCGAAUGAGGCGGGUGAAGCAGUGCGGGGUGCACCCGUUGAAGUACCUGCCCCAAAGUUCACCAUAGCAGGCCCAGGGGUGGAAACCUGCCUUUCCGCCUUCAACUUGUCCACUCCACCUCUCAACUCCGACAAGGCCUCCAACACCGUGUUUCAUGGGGCAGCAGGGGCCGAGGCCGGCGAGCAGGGCCAAGAUGGUCUGUUUACUCCCAACCGCAUGGCCCGCGAGGAAGACGUGCUGGAGUCCCGGCUCACGGUACGUGGGUUGGACCUGGUAGCACCCGCCCGUGAAGACCUGCUGGUCCUUGGGGUACUAGGCGACCCAUGGGGUUCGGUUGAGUCUUCCCCUGAGGCCGACAUGACUGCACACCUGCCGGAACACAAAAACACAACUGCCGUGGGCACGUGUGUAAACCUCAAACACUGCAUAAUAAAGCCAUUUGCGAGGCUCUACCCGCUCCAUAUGAUAGGAUUAUGGGUAGAAGGCACUGUACCUGCGUGACAGGUGAUGUGGCCUUAACCAGACGAGUAGAAAAGUGCUGAAAAUACGCGGAGCGUCGUGCUGCACAACCGCCCGGUGUGGCUCCUUAGAAGCAACUGGUAGUGGCGCUACGAAGUGUAUCUCAUGUGGAGACUCCUCUCGGCAGAGGGCGGCUUGAUGAUGUAAAAUUACUUUACUACCGUAUAAAAUAACAAGUAAAAUUAUUUUUACAUAGAUAUUUUUUUGAGAUAGUGGAUGCAUUUAUGGGAUUACCAUUAAUUUCAAUGGGGAAAUUUGGUUUGGUUUACGAGUGUUUUGGUGUGCAAGCAAAAUUGUGAAACUAAUUAAAUUCGUAAACAUAGGUAUGACUGUGUAGGGCCCUUUUUGGCCUCUUCAUGAUGGUUCCUUUAUAGACUGUAAGCUGGCGCCUUCUGGGAGGAAAGCCAGCAUACCUGAGAAAGCUGUUGCGAAGGAAUAAGGAAAUCGGCAGUUCGUUUUUUUUUUUUAGGAAUACUUAUUUUCCAAAAUUGUCAUUAUUUUUCUAUUUUCACACAUUUUUUAUAAAAAUUCAGCUUAAAAUUAAAGUAAGGUAAAUAGUAAGUAAAUACAGGCUUACGUGUAAGGUUAAUCCUCAAAGUUAAGUGUGUUAUGUUUGCUUCAAUAAAUUCAUAUAUUUA